UAAGGUGGUUAAUGAAUUCCUCAGAACAAUU
rnacentral:piRNA from 1 species